CGGCUGGGGCUGGACUCCGGAGGUUCACCUGAUGCUCCAUCUCAGCCUGGGGGCAAUGCCAAACACAUGCCUUGAGAGAUGGUCUAACUCUUUUUCAGCUUUUAUUUUAUUUUUUUUAAUGGCUGCACCCACGGCAUAUAGAAGUUCCCUGGCCAAGGACUGAAUCUGAUCCACUGCUGCGACCUAUACCACACCUGUGACAUUGCCAGAUUCUUUAACCCACUCUGUCGGGCUGGGGUUUGAACAGGUGGCUCCACAGUGACCCGAGCUGCUGCAGUUGGAUUCUUAACCCACUGCACCACAGCAGAAACUCUUUCUUCAACUUUGCUUCAUUCCAAAGGAGAAGUAUGUUUUCUCAACUGGUAAGAAGAAUGAGGAUGAGAUUCUGUAUGGCUGCCAGAAGCAGAGAUGGGGUAGUUGACAAGAGGUGCAAUGGACAGAUCUGGGGAUGUCACUUCUUUCACCUCCAGAGCCUGCAGUUUUCUCCCAGAGACAGAGCACCUGGGUGCCCCAGAGCCCUUGUGAGGAUGGCAGCUGAGGGCGCCCACGGGGGCAGGGGUGGCGGGCUAUGCCAGGGCUCAUACUGAGAUGCUGUCUUCAUCCCGCUGUCCAUGGGCUCCCUCCUGCCCUGACCCCAUCCCGUGACCACCUGAUCAUUCUGGGCACCAUUGCCAUGGGCCAGCCUGUUCAGCAGAUUCGAGUAACUCGCACACAGCUUUCCUUCCAUUCCCGUCUUUACCAUGACCUCUGGAGAGUAAAGGUCGUUUUUUGCUUAGCAGUUCUAGGCUUUGGGCCUGAAUUCUGGACCCAGUCUACAUGCAGAACAUCCCACAAGAGCUUCCCAUUAAGAGGACUUAACCACCAGAUUGGGAACCAGCAUGAGGAAGUUUCCAAGCCUGGGAUGGAACCUGUACCACAGCAGUGACAACGCUGGAUCCUUACCCUCUAAGGCCACCAAGGAACUCUUCCGAUUUCUCCUUUGCUUUUCUCCUCUUACAUUUCAAGAAUUCCCUUUGAAUAAUUUCAACCUUGUAUCAACUAGUCCAAGACAAAAAGUAAUUGACCACACUCCAGGGAUGGUGCAGAAGUGAGACCAGCCCUCUGGGGUGGGGACAGCAAGGCUGCCCCUGAAACUGACAGCACUAACAGCCUGAACCCAGCCAACACACAGACUGGGACUUGAACCCUCGUGCCGAGACUCGAACCCGGCCUAAAGCCAGAUUGGGACUUGAACCCAUGGUUUUAAAUUAAAAUCACUCACCCGGUGUCUGGACUCCCUGAUGUUCCAGUUAUUCAUGCCUCCAUGCAGAAGGAAUUCAGCAAGAGACAAAGUGAUAGACAAGAAAUGGAAUUAUUAGAAUAGGAUGCUUGUGAGAGAUGCAAGCAGGCAGGCAAGGAGGCUCUGCCCUGAGGAUCUGGUGGGCUAGUUUUAUUAUCCAAGGGGAGUGGGGGGUCAGAAAAGACUGCCUCUUCCUCUUUCUUUGAGUAGUAGCUCCUCCUUGGUAUCCAGUAAGGUGUGUAUUCAAAUCAACAGAAGGGUGGUCCUCAAACUCCAGCUCUAGGUCUGAAUCUAAAUGCAGACCUCCUCCCAUCCCCCACCCAACAUCUGGCGCCUCCACUAGUCAAGCAAGCCUGCUUCGUUCUGAUGGCUUUCUUGAGCAAUCGUUAACUUACAGUAAUCUCCCAACAUCCCAUAGGUUUCCUGCUCUAUCUGUGAUCCUUUAUUGGGAAUUUCUACAGCUACCUGUGCCUACUCCAUCCCUAUCACUCCCACUGGAGAAUGGGUGCCGCUUAGCAGACCGUGCCAAGCAGUGACAUCCAGGGAUCCCUGCCUGCCUGGGGUGCUCUCCCGGGACCGGGCGGGAGGAACUGCUCCAGGGGUGAACAAACUGAACCAAAGUCUUUGUCUGGGCACCUCCUUUGCC
ensembl:lncRNA